rnacentral:rRNA from 1 species
AGAGUUUGAUCCUGGCUCAGGACGAACGCUGGCGGCGUGCCUAAUACAUGCAAGUCGAGCGAAUCACUUCGGUGAUUAGCGGCGGACGGGUGAGUAACACGUGGGCAACCUGCCUGUAAGACUGGGAUAACACCGGGAAACCGGUGCUAAUACCGGAUAAUCCUUUUCCUCUCAUGAGGAAAAGCUGAAAGUCGGUUUCGGCUGACACUUACAGAUGGGCCCGCGGCGCAUUAGCUAGUUGGUGAGGUAACGGCUCACCAAGGCGACGAUGCGUAGCCGACCUGAGAGGGUGAUCGGCCACACUGGGACUGAGACACGGCCCAGACUCCUACGGGAGGCAGCAGUAGGGAAUCUUCCACAAUGGACGAAAGUCUGAUGGAGCAACGCCGCGUGAGCGAUGAAGGCCUUCGGGUCGUAAAGCUCUGUUGUUAGGGAAGAACAAGUACCGGAGUAACUGCCGGUACCUUGACGGUACCUAACCAGAAAGCCACGGCUAACUACGUGCCAGCAGCCGCGGUAAUACGUAGGUGGCAAGCGUUGUCCGGAAUUAUUGGGCGUAAAGCGCGCGCAGGCGGUCCUUUAAGUCUGAUGUGAAAGCCCACGGCUCAACCGUGGAGGGUCAUUGGAAACUGGGGGACUUGAGUGCAGAAGAGGAAAGCGGAAUUCCACGUGUAGCGGUGAAAUGCGUAGAGAUGUGGAGGAACACCAGUGGCGAAGGCGGCUUUCUGGUCUGUAACUGACGCUGAGGCGCGAAAGCGUGGGGAGCAAACAGGAUUAGAUACCCUGGUAGUCCACGCCGUAAACGAUGAGUGCUAAGUGUUAGGGGGUUUCCGCCCCUUAGUGCUGCAGCUAACGCAUUAAGCACUCCGCCUGGGGAGUGCGGCCGCAAGGCUGAAACUCAAAGGAAUUGAC